GGGAAGCUGGCUCAGUGGUAGAGUGCUUGCCUUGCAUGCAUGAAGCCCUGGGUUCGAUUCCUCAGCACCACA
rnacentral:tRNA from 1 species